GUAUGUGAGGGUGACAUCACUCUUUUGAUGCCAGGUUGAUUUGGAUAAUGUGACUUUACCAUUUCCUCUCUCACUACUUCAUGUGUAUCUCUUUGGAGUUGCACACUCAAAUCAAAGAGGAUGCCCUUCCCUAAUAAAGGGAAACCACUCUUGGGUCAAGCAUAUAUGAAAAGCUGUGUUUCUCUGCUGAACCUCCAAGUCAGCUCUAAAUUCCAGAUUGGCUUCCAGAUUU
rnacentral:sRNA from 1 species